rnacentral:rRNA from 1 species
UUCGCCACGCCCGCUCAAGAAACUUAAAUAGAAUGACGGGGCCCGCACAAGCGGUGGAGUAUGUGGUUUAAUUCGAUGCAACGCGAAGAACCUUACCUGGUCUUGACAUCCCGGAGACCCUUAGGAAACUAGGGGGUGCUUCCAUCUGGAAGAAUCUGGAGACAGGUGCUGCAUGGCUGUCGUCAGCUCGUGUCGUGAGAUGUUGGGUUAAGUCCCGCAACGAGCGCAACCCUUGCCUUUAGUUGCCAGCAGUUCGGCUGGGCACUCUAAAGGGACUGCCGGUGUUAAACCGGAGGAAGGUGGGGAUGACGUCAAGUCCUCAUGGCCUUUAUGACCAGGGCUACACACGUACUACAAUGGCCGAUACAAAGGGCAGCGACACUGCGAGGUGAAGCCAAUCCCGUAAAAUCGGUCUCAGUCCGGAUUGGAGUCUGCAACUCGACUCCAUGAAGUUGGAAUCGCUAGUAAUCGUGGAUCAGCAUGCCACGGUGAAUACGUUCCCGGGCCUU